AGAUUGAUCGUGGGAGGGUACAACACUAACACAGAUGUCCCUCUCAGUGGCUACAAGGAGGCCAGUAAAGGAAUCCUGACGGCAUUCACAUUCCCGUCCACGCUGGGCUCUCACAUUGUACAAUGGGACGGAGUAUGGAGGGAUCUAAGAGCCCUAACCAGAACCACACCCUUCCCCAUCAGAGAGCAGGCGGGCCACACACUCAAGUCUAGUGUACAUCACACACUCACAGCCGACACGAGGGAUGAUAAGAUACUUCCACAUACUGGGUACCUGUUAAAAGCUGUUCAGGUAUGACAAACAAAUUUCAUCAA